rnacentral:rRNA from 1 species
CCCGCUCAGAAACUCAAAGGAAUUGACGGGACCCGCACAAGCGGUGGAGCAUGUGGUUUAAUUCGACGAUACGCGAAGAACCUUACCUGGCCUUGACAUACUAAAAAGCUUUAAGAGAUUAGAGUGUGCUAGCUUGCUAGAAUUUAGAUACAGGUGCUGCACGGCUGUCGUCAGCUCGUGUCGUGAGAUGUUGGGUUAAGUCCCGCAACGAGCGCAACCCUCGUGUUUAGUUGCUAACAGUUCGGCUGAGAACUCUAAACAGACUGCCUACGCAAGUAGGAGGAAGGUGAGGACGACGUCAAGUCAUCAUGGCCCUUACGGCCAGGGCUACACACGUGCUACAAUGGUCGGUACAAAGGGUUGCCAAGCCGCGAGGUGGAGCUAAUCCCAUAAAACCGAUCGUAGUCCGGAUCGCAGUCUGCAACUCGACUGCGUGAAGUCGGAAUCGCUAGUAAUCGUGAAUCAGAAUGUCACGGUGAAUACGUUCCCGGGCCUU